rnacentral:pre_miRNA from 1 species
AAAACACUCGGAUCGUUGGUCUACCUGGUCUACCGAGCAAUAUCACCCGCUCGAUGGAAGAUCUUCCUUUCGUCGU